ensembl:lncRNA
GUCAUUCUGUUCCGUUGGGAGGUGCAAGUCUUUGUUUUCGAUGCUCUGCCCAAGACCCUUCCCUUGAAAGUGUGUGAAAGGUGCCAGGUCCAGUCUUUAGGUAUGUCUUGCCUUGGGCCAGUGAGAACUUGUAGCAAGACAGUCAGGCACAAGAGCUUCAUCCAUAUCUCCAUAAUGAAAUUUGCUCUACCUCAGAAGCUCCCUCUUGUGUAUCUUAAGGCCUUCUUUCUCAGGGAAAUUACAUGCUUCACAAUAGUCACAAAUAUUAUAAAAUACCCUGGGGUAACUCUAACCAAACGAGUGAAGGUUCUGUAUAUAACAACUUCAAGUCUCUAAAUAAAUAAAUAAAUAAAUAGGAAGAAGAGCUCAGAAAAUGGAGAGAUAUCCCACAAUUAUGAACUAGUAGGCUAAACCUAGUAAAAUGGCCAUCUUAACAAAAUCAGUUUACAGAUUAAAUGCAAUCCCCAUCAAAAUCCCAACACAAUUCAUUAAAAACAUGGAAAAAGCAAUUCUCAAUUUCAUGCUGCACAUGAUUUUUAAAAACCAAGAUCCACAUACAAGUAGUACUAUUUCCCUGUGAGAAAAUGAAAUACGGGCAAAUAUCUUUUCUGGCAGAGGCUGAGUAGGAUAGUGGAAAGUAUUGUUUAUAGACAACGAGAUCAUAAUAUUUUCCAGGAACGGUCAAAGAGAUGGAAUACAGCCAGAACUGAGGAGCUAGUGGGUUGGUAGCAGCUGGGAUAGGCUAACAGUUCUUUGAAAUUUACUAGUUCCCAGUUAGGUUCAAUGGGAGCCUACUGUUUCAUUAGAGUCUGAAAUUGCCUCAACACAAAAUCUCAUGUGAGCAGCCAGUACUGGUGCAUACCUUUAAUCACAGCACAUAGGAGGCAGAGUUAUGCAGAUUUCUUGGAGUUCAAGGUCAGCCUGGUCAACAACACAAGUUUCAGGAGAGCCUGACCUGCUACAGAGAGAAACUCUGUCUCGGAAAACAAAAGGUUGGGGCAAAACAGCUCAUGUGAGCUAUGCAAGAUGGCUGACAGACACAACUGAGUACACAGACAGGGUCCUAGAAUUCUUAGGCUAGGGUCUCAGGGAAAGAAAACCAAAGGGUUCUGAUGACAGUUGUCCUUUCUCCUCUUUCUCCUCUGGUUCUCUUCCAUGGUCUGAGGAACUGGGGCUGUGAAAAUAGAAACAAUCCCUAUGUAUUCUCUACUCUGCACAAGCUGGAGUCUCCUCAUCCUUGGCCAUGUGUGGGCUUGGGCAGAUGCUUUUCUGGUUGAGCACCAUUCAAAGUCCUUUGAGAAGUGCUUGCCAUGGUCACUG